UGGGGAAUAUUGGACAAUGGGGGGAACCCUGAUCCAGCCAUGCCGCGUGUGUGAAGAAGGCCUUAUGGUUGUAAAGCACUUUAAGCGAGGAGGAGGGUACUGGUAUUAAUACUACCAGGUACUGGACGUUACUCGCAUAAUAAGCACCGGCUAACUCUGUGCCAGCAGCCGCGGUAAUACAGAGGGUGCGAGCGUUAAUCGGAAUUACUGGGCGUAAAGCGAGCGUAGGUGGUUCGUUAAGUUGAAUGUGAAAGCCCCGGGCUCAACCUGCGAACUGCAUCCAAAACUGGCGAGCUAGAGUAGGGCAGAGGGUGGUGGAAUUUCCUGUGUAGCGGUGAAAUGAGUAGAUAUAGGAAGGAACACCAGUGGCGAAGGCAACCACCUGGGCUCAUACUGACACUGAAGUGCGAAAGCGUGGGGAGCAAACAGG
rnacentral:rRNA from 1 species